CACCGCGGUUAUACGAGAGGCCCAAGUUGACAAACCCCGGCGUAAAGAGUGGUUAAUAUACAACAAACUAAGGCUAAACACCUUCAAAACUGUCAUACGUUCCCGAAGGCAGGAAGACCUCCAACGAAAGUAGCUUUAACCAGAUAUGACCCCACGAAAGCUAGGAAA
rnacentral:rRNA from 1 species